CUCUCUCUUUCUCUUUCUCUGUGUCUCUGUCAUGGAGACAGGUGCUUUGCUGAGGCCCUGUGGUUGUGGUUGGAGGCUUUGCUUCUUCUCUGCGAAUGAGGGGAACUGUGUGUAUGUGUGUGAGAAUGUGUGUGUGUGAAAGAGAGAGAGACAGAGAGGGAGAGAGGGAGAGAGUUUGAGAGAGAGAGAGAGAGAGAGAGAGUUUUGCAGAGUACAACGUGCGGAAUUCUGCAUCGGUUGACAUUCACGCAGACACUACUUUCGUGACAAGCUCAGAUCUGGUUUCCGUCUGUGAGAUGUGUGGGUGUCUGUGAACCUCUCUCUCACUCCCCCUCUCUCUCUCUCUCCCCCUCUCUCUUUCUUUUGCAGUGUGUGUAUAUACUUAUACAAAAAAAGCAUCUUCUUAUAGUAGGGAAAGUGCAUCCUUGAAAUCGGCAUAAAGUCUCUACAUACUCAGACUUUUAGAAGAAAAAAUGUGAAGAAGUGUUGUUGUUAUUGUUGUUUUAUACAGUUAAUAGAAAAUAUUAUCAAAAUGGUCAAGACGUUCUAUGAAGGUUAGCACAAUAUUUCUGCAUUAUAAGUUACACAACUGGACCUUUAAGGACGUUAAAACCACUUUAAGUUUGCAUUAGCAUUGUUUGUCUCUCCACUGAGGUUUGUCUGUCCAUUUCAGCUUUCUGUCAAUUUUUAGUGCAUUUCUGACUCCAUAGUUUGAAAAGGUUGUGUAUUUAGCAUAUUUAUGAUUACUUCCUGGUUAGUGAUAUUCAUAAGCUUCAUUAUGUUUUGACUAUUUCCUGUUAAGUCGUAUUUCUUGAGUUAGUCAUUGUAUGCAAAAUUGACAUCUUUGCAAGUGAAAAUAUCUUGAAUAUAGUUAAAUUUAUCUAGAAAGUCCAAACCAAAUAUAAGAUUAUUAAACCUAUUUUUAGACUUUUUUUUUUUUUUACUAAUUUCAAGCUUUACAUUUUCUAGAAAUAACUGCUAUCUACCAGUAGAAGAAGACUACUUCAAGCUUAAAAUGAGUAAAAGUCUAAAAAAAAAUUCAAAGUCUAACAAUAUAUUUCCACUUGCUAAGAGGUAAAGUUUUCUGCAGUGUUCCCCUUUGAUUGCAUGUGAAACUACGCUGACAGUUGAGGAAAAAAAAUGCCUAAUAUGAAGGCAAAUGCAAAAACUAGUAAUUUCCAAGGACAAUGGUAAAGUCCAGAUGAUGAGGCUGCGCUAUAAAGUCUGGGUGUGAAUAAUGGUGGUUGGUGUUUUAUUUGGUUUGUUUAGUUAAAUUCAGAUCAUGUGAUUGUUGGGAGGCAGGAGGGUGUUGACGAGCCUGGUAGUAGUGAUAUCUUUGUUUGGUAUCUAUUCAAUAUACUUUGUUUGGUAUGACACAAUUCUGGUAGCUUUGCAGAUGCAGCAAUUUUGGUAAGUAGACUCCAAUGGUGCUCUCUGUUGUUUCAUUGUAGGGCCUUGCAAUAUGUUACAAUUCCCAUACGCUCUUGGUAAAAAGGUACAAACUCUUGUCACUGAGUUGGUACCCAAAGGGAGGAACAUCAUUAAGGUACACAACUGAACCAAAAAGACAGCUUUUGUACUUUUGUUUGUUUUUACAGUACCUGAACAGUACCUUUAUUUCUAGGACAGGGAGGUUUGCUCCACUCUGUCACCACAGGAAAGGGAGACAUCAAGGCUUUUUUUGUUAAGGCAGGUAGUCUUGAAGGUCCCACUGAUGACUUGUUCAAUAUUCAAGCCAACGUACUUAGAGCAGAUGUCUGUGCACAUCAGUGUCUCUACAGUGGCGCCAUUGAUGUGCAGUGGAAAGUGACCGCUGUGAGUAAAGGCAACAAUAAUAUAUUUUGUUUUGACCACAUUAAGAAGCAGAAUUGUUGUGUCUAUAUCAGUCUGCAAGCUGCUCCAUUUCUUAUCUGUAUGCUGACUCAUCAUUGUUGCUAAUUAGCUGCACAAUGUGUCAUCAGAAAACUCGACGAUGUGAUUCCAGCAAUGCUUUUCAGCAGUCGUGAGUCAGCCAUGUGAACAGCAAGGGGUCCAAGUAUACGGCCCUGGGAGACUCCAGUGCUCACUGUGGUGGUGCUGGUGGUGAAAAAAGGUCUGCCAGUCAAAAAGUUCUAGGGGAAGAAUUUCCCUAUCAGUGUCUGUUGCGUGACGCUGAAUUGAAGUCAUUGAAGAGCAUUUUCAUUUUCACUGCUGGGUCCUUGAGCAAGGCCCUCAACCAUCAACUGCUCUGUUGUAGCUCGGGAUAAGGGUGCCUGCUAAAUGCCAUAAGUGUAAAUAUGUGAUAUAAUGUUACCAUCUUAGCACAUCCUGAUUUGGUCAUUUUAUUCCACUCUUCCUUGCAAAAAUGCUCCAGAUUGCCAGGGGAUCUCCUAUGCACAGACCUCUUCAAGUCAUUCCACAGGUUUACAAUAGGAUUUUGUUCUGGGCUCUGAGUGGGCCAUUCCAAAACAUUGAUCUUCUUCUGAAGCCUCUCCUUUGCUGACUUGGAUUUGUGCUUUGGGUCUUCAUCGUGCUGGAAGGUGAAAUUUUUAUUCAUCUUCAACUGUGCCAAAAUAGAUUGGUAUUUGGAGCUAUCCAUGAUUCCCUCGACCUUGACUAGAGCCCCAGUCCCAGCUGAAGAGAAGCAGCCCCAUAGCAUGAUGCUGUCACCACCAUGCUUCACUUAUAUAAUGAUUCAUGGAAAAACCCGCAGAUACUUCAUGAGAACAUUGAAUCCACUGAGGCUCCCUCAGCGAGCAUGGAAAAUGUCUUCAAGGCCAAAAGCUUCAGCUGAGUGUUUAGAAGAUCUGCAGGAUUUAGAGACAUCUGUAAUGCUGAGGAUACAGAAGAUAACACAUGGAUUUCUGCUAAUCCUUUAAUGUUUCACUCUGUGUGUGUGUGUGUGUGUGUGUGUGUGUGUGUGUGUGCGUGUGCACCUCAGGGGUAUAAACACUUGUGUUCUUCAUCUGUUCCUUCUCUUUAGCCGGGGGAUCAGAGCAGUGGAGAUGCUUAAUCACCAGUUCUGGGAUAUCUCUCUCUCUCUCUCUCUCUCUUUCACUCUGUGUGUGUGUGUGUGUGUGUGUGUGUGUUCACCCAUACCUUAAUAAGUUAGCCUGGUUAGACUGUGAUAUCUUUCAGAUUGCUGACCCACAUUUUCCACAAAUUUGCUUUAAAUUUUAUAUAAAUAAAUAUUCGUUUUCCGUACAUUGACCUUAAUGUGCAGUCUGCUUUUAUAAUCUCUGUGGCUAUGAGUGUAAAAGCCGCAACUUGCCCCUCUUUCCCACAACCAAAUCAUGUCAAAAAGCAAUUAAUAUCUUAAUACCUCCAUCAGUCUGCAAUGGGGCCAGUGCCCUCACCUCUCUCACUCUCGCUUUCUCUCUAUUUCUUUUCCAUGCUUUUUUCCCCUCCAUCAGACGGUGGUUUCCCUGAGGUCCUGGUGGUCAGAUGUGGUUUUCGGGGCACAAGGACUCUGACUGCGGCCAGUGUGGUCUUUUACCUCGGCCAGUUAAGCACUCAGAAGAGAGAGAGAGGCAGAGAGACCACAGGUCUCGAAUCUUAGUCCUCUAAUGCAGUGUCCAUCUCACCAUCCAUUUCCUUAAAGAUGGCGGCGGCUUCAGUCUCCUUCAGAGAGCUUGUUUUUUGCUGUGGUUUCAGCACAGACGUGAUGACACAGUGCAAACCUUUAGACAAAGGUCUGUUUUAGACAAAAUAUUUAUCACUAAUUGCUCACUUCCAGCUGUGCUAAGAGGAGGAAGUCGUUUAAAGCAGGGACGUUUUUAGCAGCACCGUAUUUAUUUUGCCACGCGUGUCCUUUGGCAGGGGCAGUAGGAAACUUGUGGAUGGCCUUGGCAAUGUGCGCAAUGC